UACAGAGGGUGCGAGCGUUAAUCGGAAUUACUGGGCGUAAAGCGCGCGUAGGCGGCUUUUCAAGUCGAUUGUGAAAUCCCCGGGCUUAACCUGGGAACUGCAGUCGAGACUGUCUAGCUAGAGUAUGGGAGAGGGAAGUGGAAUUUCAGGUGUAGCGGUGAAAUGCGUAGAUAUCUGAAGGAACAUCAGUGGCGAAAGCGACUCCUGGACCAAUACUGACGCUCAUGUGCGAAAGCGUGGGGAGCAAACAGG
rnacentral:rRNA from 1 species